UGUUUUCAUAUCUGCAGGAGAAGGAAACAACGUUUUUCUUCUCAAGUCGACCCUAGCUCUCUUCCUUCUGCUCUUUUUGGAAGGAGAGCUUCCCCUGAUCUGCUGACGAGUAGACACGGACCCCGUUUCUUUUGUGGAAACCUACGGAUAAACGGACUGAACACACAGUAAGAAGGCUUACGUCUGGGCAGAGAUAAAUAGUGUGUUUUAUUAAUGAGUAAUUU